rfam:Sorghum bicolor cultivar BTx623 chromosome 9, whole genome shotgun sequence.
AUUCCAUAAUGCGGGCAAUCUGAUAUGUAUCCUUGAAAGCGUUCCCAUGCUUCUGGAAUAGAUUCACCUCUCUGCUGCUGAAAUUCUAAAAUCUUCCCUCGUAAGAUA